GCCAGACGUGGUGGCGCGUGCCUGUGGUCCCAGCUACUCGGGAGACUGAGGCUGGAGGAUCGCUUGAGCCCAGGAGUUCUGGGCUGUAGUGCGCUAUGCCAAUCGGGUGUCCGCACUAAGUUCGCCAUCAAUAUGGGGACCUCCCGGGAGUGGGGGACCACCAGGUUGCCUAAGGAGGGGUGAACCAGCCCAGGUUGGAAACAGAGCAGGUUAAAACUCCCGUGCUGAUCAGUAGUGGGAUCGUGCCUGUGAAUAGCCACUGCACUCCAGCCUGGGCAACAUAGCGAGACCCCGUCUCU
rnacentral:SRP_RNA from 1 species